GCCGGGCGUGGUGGCUCGCGCCCGUAGUCCCGGCUACUCGGGAGGCUGAGGCACAAGAAUCGCUUGAACCCAGGAGGCAGAGGUUGCAGUGAGCCGAGGUGGUGCCACUGCAUUCCAGCCUGGGUGACAGAGCGAGAUUCUGUCUCAA
rnacentral:SRP_RNA from 2 species